rnacentral:rRNA from 1 species
UACAGAGGUCUCAAGCGUUGUUCGGAUUCAUUGGGCGUAAAGCGCGUGUAGGCGGCUUAGCAAGUCGGGCGUGAAAGCCCUCGGCUCAACCGAGGAAGUGCACCCGAAACUGCUGAGCUUGAGUGCCGGAGAGGAUGGCGGAAUACCCCAAGUAGAGGUGAAAUUCGUAGAUAUGGGGUGGAACACCGGUGGCGAAGGCGGCCAUCUGGACGGUAACUGACGCUGAGACGCGAAAGCGUGGGUAGCAAACAGG